rnacentral:rRNA from 1 species
UACGGAGGGUGCGAGCGUUAAUCGGAAUUACUGGGCGUAAAGCGUGCGCAGGCGGUUCGUUGUGUCGGUGGUGAAGCCCCGGGCUUAACCUGGGAAUGGCCAUGGAAACUGGCGAACUGGAGUGUGGCAGAGGGGGGUGGAAUUCCGCGUGUAGCAGUGAAAUGCGUAGAGAUGCGGAGGAACACCGAUGGCGAAGGCAGCCCCCUGGGCUAGCACUGACGCUCAGGCACGAAAGCGUGGGGAGCAAACAGG